GUAAGUAUAGUUUAAAUCAAAAUAUUAGAUUGUGAUUCUAAAGACAGAGGUUAAAAUCCUCUUACUCACC
rnacentral:tRNA from 1 species